GGAGUGAGCCACGGUGGGUAAGCUACCGUGACGAAAGGUGAAGAAACCAGCUCAGUGUUAAGGUCCCAAAAUUACAGUUAAGUGUUAAUUACAAACGGAGUCCGUGGUCGAAGACAACUAGAAGGUGGGCUUAGAGGCAGCCAUCCUUGAAAGAGUUCGUAACAGAUCACUAGUCAAGCUUGCGGGCCCGAAAAAUGGACGGGACUAAAACUGUAUACCGAUACACUGAUCCUUCGAAAGAAGAUGAGGUAGCGCGGCGACAUGCUCGGGUAGAAGCUCGGUUUUGAGAUCGGGUGGACCGUGUAUGUAUGAGAAUCUAGGGAAGAGUAGCAGCAUAGUGCGGUGAGAAUCCGCACCACCGAAGGGGUAAGGGUUCCUCGGCAAUGGUUAUCAGCCGAGGGUUAGCCGAUCCUAAGGUCAUUCCUAACCGAAAUGAUCGAAAGGGAAUUGCGUUAAUAUUCGUAAGCCCCUCUUACAUUAAUGGUGACGGCUUGGGCUAGUUUAUGCGCAUCAGUCAUGGUGCGUCGAAGCGUUCAAUAAUCGAAUGGAGAACCGUAAUGGUGAGAAGUUCGAGAAGACGUGAGCAAAAGAUAGAUGAGGCCUAGGUCCCAUGAAAAGCCGUAAGAGGUGAUCGUACCAAGAUCUGACACAGGUACCCAAGGUGAGAAGCCUAAGGUGUGACGGGCAAAGUAUCGUGAAGGAACUCGGCAAAAUCGCUCUGUAACUUCGGGAGAAGGAGUGCCAGGUUCGAGAGAACCUGGUCGCAGUAACAAGGGGACUCCGACUGUUUAAUAAAAACAUAGCCGACUGCUAGUUCGAAAGGAUGUGUAUAGUCGGUGAAUCCUGCUCAGUGCCGGUAUCUGAAAUCGGGUUUCAACCUGAUGAAGGACCGGUAAACAGCGGGGGUAACUAUGACCCUCUUAAGGUAGCGUAAUACCUUGUCGCUUAAUUGGCGACUUGCAUGAAUGGCACAACGAGAGUCCCACUGUCUCCACGAUACGUCCGGCGAAAUUGACUAUUACUGGCGCACAGUCCAGUAACCUCAACCUGCAAGCGAAGACCCCAUAGAGCUUUACUACAGCCUGGCGUUGAAUAAUCGCACACUAUGUGCUGAGUAGACGGGAGAUGUUGAUCAUCUGGACGCCAGUUCAGAUGGGAGUCGUCCAUAGAGACACCGUCCUUAGUUUGUAAUUAUUCUAACUCUUUUAGAGAACACCGUUUGGUGGGUAGUUUGGGUGGGGCGCCACGCGCCCGAAAAUAUAACAGGCGUGCCCAAAGGUCAGCUUAGGUGGUUCAGUCUCCACCGUUAACCGUAAGGGGAAAAGCUGGCUUGACGUGGAUCGGACCAAUAACGAUCGACGAUGCGAAAGCAGGGCCUAACGAACCAAUCUACCUCAUUUAUGGGGGUGAUUGAUAACAGAAAAGUUACCUUGGGGAUAAUUGAGUUGUCACCAGCAAGAGCACAUAUCGACCUGGUGGCUUGCUACUUCGAUGUCGUCUCUUCCCAACCUCCUGGUGCAGCAGCUGGGAAGGGUGGGGUUGUUCGCCCAUUAAAGGGGAUCGUGAGAUGGGUUUAGACCGUCGUGAGACAGGUUUGUUGCUUUGUGGUUGAGGCGUAUCAGAUGCCUGAUCGGAAGGGUCCUUUAGUACGAGAGGAACGAGGACUCGGAGCCACUAGUUUACCAGUUGUCCGACAGGGCAAUGCUGGGUAGCCACGCUCCAGUGGAUAAGAGCUGAAAGCAUCUAAGCUCGAAGUCAUCCGAAAGACGAGGCAUCUCAGGGGACUCAUAGAAGAUGAGUUUGAUAGACAGCGGGUGUAAGUACCGAGGGUUCGCCCGAGGUAUUCAGCCCAGCUGCACUAACCCCCCGAGCAUUCAUCAAU
rnacentral:rRNA from 1 species